rnacentral:rRNA from 1 species
CCUACGGGAGGCAGCAGUGGGGAAUUUUGGACAAUGGGGGCAACCCUGAUCCAGCCAUUCCGCGUGAGUGAAGAAGGCCUUCGGGUUGUAAAGCUCUUUCGCAAGGGAAGAAAACUUAUGAUCGAAUAAAUCAUGAGGUUGACGGUACCUUGAUAAGAAGCACCGGCUAACUACGUGCCAGCAGCCGCGGUAAUACGUAGGGUGCGAGCGUUAAUCGGAAUUACUGGGCGUAAAGCGUGCGCAGGCGGUUUUGUAAGUCGGAUGUGAAAUCCCCGGGCUCAACCUGGGAACUGCGUUCGAAACUGCAAGGCUAGAGUGUGUCAGAGGGGGGUAGAAUUCCACGUGUAGCAGUGAAAUGCGUAGAGAUGUGGAGGAACACCAAUGGCGAAGGCAGCCCCCUGGGAUAACACUGACGCUCAUGCACGAAAGCGUGGGGAGCAAACAGGAUUAGAUACCCUGGUAGUCCACGCCCUAAACGAUGUCAACUAGUUGUUGGUAGAGUAAAAUCUAUGAGUAACGUAGCUAACGCGUGAAGUUGACCGCCUGGGGAGUACGGUCGCAAGAUUAAAACUCAAAGGAAUUGACGG